GACGUAGGGCGCGAGCGUUGUCCGGAUUUAUUGGGCGUAAAGAGCUCGUAGGCGGCUUGUCGCGUCGACUGUGAAAUCCCGCGGCUCAACUGCGGGUCUGCAGUCGAUACGGGCAGGCUAGAGUUCGGUAGGGGAGACUGGAAUUCCUGGUGUAGCGGUGAAAUGCGCAGAUAUCAGGAGGAACACCGAUGGCGAAGGCAGAUCUCUGGGCCGUAACUGACGCUGAGGAGCGAAAGCGUGGGGAGCGAACAGG
rnacentral:rRNA from 1 species